GCUCACCCAGCGCCAGCGGCCGCCGCACCCAGCCGCGCCGGCGAGGACAUGGGCAGCCGCGGCGCGCCCACCCCCCGCGCCGAUGUGAAUUAUUAAAAAGAAAAUGGCCCAACGGAGCACUGUAUUUCCUUCUUGUGUCACCAAGGAAAGGUAUAAUAUAUGGAAAAUAUGCAUCUAAGGCGAGUGAGAACCAUGCCCCGACACAGCCAGUCCCUGACCAUGGCACCAUACUCAUCUGUGAGCCUCGUGGAGCAGCUGGAAGACAGGAUCCUCUGCCAUGAGAAAACCACCGCCGCCCUCGUAGAGCACGCCUUUCGGAUUAAAGAUGACAUUGUCAACAGUUUGCAGAAAAUGCAAAACAAAGGGGGAGGUGACCGCUUGGCCAGGCUUUUCUUGGAGGAGCAUAUCAGAAACAUAACUGCCAUAGUGAAGCAACUUAAUCGGGAUAUCGAGGUAAGGUUUGUGAAAGUCAGGUGGCCUAUGUCCCUUUCCACAGAAUUGCUCCGUGUCAGGAGGUCACCCAAUUCCUACCUUCCAGGCAGUAAUGCAUUUAGAACAAAGCUGUCUGUCUUGUCUAUUCUUAAUGAUCGCCAAGGAGACAGCUUGCAGAAAUAUCCUAAUUAAAUUUAUUCCAGUGUUUGAUAACAGUUACUGUCAGUGUUAUGUUUAAUCUAACUUUAUCUUGCUGAUUAUUAAAUGAUUUUAUUUUGUUUGGCUCUUAAUGAAGGGAGAGAAGAACUAGUCAAAUAGUUUUACUCUAUAAUCUUUCAUAUCUUUGAAGACAGCUAUUAAGUCAGUUACUAAGAUCAGACUUUGUUGCUUCAGAUUAAAUGUUUCUAGGUCAUAAUGAUUAUAUGUAAUACAGUUUAAUACUCAAACAA
rnacentral:sRNA from 1 species